CAAAUGACUCUCGGCAAUGGAUAUCUCGGCUCUUGCAUCGAUGAAGAACGUAGUGAAAUGCGAUACUUGGUGUGAAUUGCAGAAUCUCGUGAACCAUUGAGUCUUUGAACGCAAGUUGUGCCCGAGGCUUUGCCAAGGGCACGCCUGCUUGGGCGUCAUGG
rnacentral:rRNA from 1 species